ensembl:lncRNA
AUGCACCUCACAGAGCUGGAAGAAAAGAACGUGGAACUGAAUAAUCAGCUGUCACAGUUUCAAUCUGCUCUUCAGCAGGCCGAACUGGUCUCUUCAAGCCGUGCAGGAAAACUUCAGGAGCUCAGCACCCAGAUCCAGGCCCUGCAGGAUGCAGUGACAGAGAAGGCAGCUCAGCAGGACACUCAAGAGAAGGAGCUGCUGCAGGAGCUGGAAAAGUCCCAAGCAGGAGAACAGAGCUUGAGGGACGCUGUGCAUGUGCUGCAGGUUGAGAUGUCUGAGCUGCGUCUGAGGCUCCAAAGCUCUGAGGAAAGAGCAGAGGCCAUGGCCACACACUGUGAGGCCAUGGAGAUGGAGCUGAGGAUGGCUCAGGCUGACAACAACCAAAUCAAGGCCUGCAAUCAGGAGCUGCAGACACUGUUGGAGGAAACUCAGCAAGCAAUAUGGAGGGCAGAACAGCAGAAGACCUCUCUAGAAACUGCCUUGAAGGAAGAGGCUGUGACUGUUCGUCAGAGGUGGCAUCACUGCAGAGGAAACUGGAGAGCCAGGAGAAGGAAAGGCAGGAUGUGCUGCAUGAACGGGAAUUGUACCACCAGCAGCUGAGAGACCUGGAAAAGGACAUGGGUGCACCUGACAUCCAAAGAGGGAAGAAGAUAACCCAGGAAUUGGAAGUGGAGAGGGAAGACAUGCAAGAAGAGUUGGACCACGGGACUGCUGCUGCCUUGAAGAAGAGAGGAAGAGAAGAAAUCAAAGGGACAGAGAAUGCUCAACUCCUGAGUGCUGCACUGAGGAAGAGUGAAAUGGCCAAGGGGACUCUGAAGAAAAACUUUGUAAUCCUGCAGAGAAAAUCUCCUGACAACUGCAUGGGCCAGUCUCAUCUCCAGGUAGGCACAGGCACUGACCUCCACUCCAAUGUCCCUGAAGGAUUCCAGUGAUAUUUCCCAUAAAGAAGUGGGACUCUAUAUCCCUGUGAGUCCAGGCCUGCUUGGCCAAAGCAGCCCAGGCUGCAGCAGGCAGCCUUGUCUGUCUGCCUGGCCCCAGCCAGAGACCAUUGACUGGCAGAUUGUUUCCUGGCAUGCCCAGAAUGACUGCUACAGCUCUGGAGUUUGCUGCUCAGAUCAGCUGCAGGCCAAAUUCUGGGCAUGGGGAGCUGCUUCUCCUGUGCUCACACAAGAUCAUGGCAACACGUGGGGAU